CGUCAGUUAGUGAUGGGAAUACAUUCUGAGAAAUGCAUUGUUAGUCAAUUUCACCGUUGUGUGAACAACAUAGAGUGCACUUACGCAAACCUAAAUGGUACAGCCUGCUACACUCUUAGGCUAUAUGGUACUAUUCUUAAAAGAACAC